UACGUACGAGGCAAGCGUUAUCCGGAAUCAUUGGGCGUAAAGAGCUCGUAGGCGGUUUGUCGCGUCUGCCGGUGAAAGUCCGGGGCUCAACUCCGGAUCUGCGGUGGGUACGGGCAGACUAGAGUGAUGUAGGGGAGACUGGAAUUCCUGGUGUAGCGGUGAAAUGCGCAGAUAUCAGGAGGAACACCGAUGGCGAAGGCAGGUCUCUGGGCAUUAACUGACGCUGAGGAGCGAAAGCAUGGGGAGCGAACAGG
rnacentral:rRNA from 1 species